rnacentral:lncRNA from 1 species
GUUCUAAUUAUAGUUCUUGCAGCCAGAAGAACCUGUUGGGUUAGGACAAGCAGGGACAGCCUACAGAUCCAAGCAGAGGGAACCACUUGUUGCCCUGGAAAAGUCUGGAGUUUUACUGCUGCUAAAGAGCCUGGCCAGGUUGUUGCAUGUAACUUCACGGUAAACAGCAGUAGGGCUUCUCCAGCCCAGGGACCAUGACAGAAAGAAGACUCCAGAACUGGGAGUGAAUGAAGGUGUCCUGAACAAGGCCAAAAAGGAAAGUCAGAUCAAGGGUGAGUUCCAUGAGUCUGGGAGGGGACCCAUGCACCAGCGUGGGAAGUGAGAGGAUGAACACCCCAGCUUCCUAGCCCCUCAGAGGUGUUCCACAUCACCUCCCAGAAGUCUCCAGCAAGACUGGGUUCCACAAGGCUACCAGCUUGAUGUCACUGAAGAGGAAGUCAGGGAAAGCGGUGCAAAGAGCCGGUUCUCACAAGACAGUACAAGCCAGCUGCAGCGGACCAGUGACGCGGAAACAUGCACCCGCCUCCAG